ensembl:lncRNA
CCACUUAAAUGUCUGUCAUGUGGAAAACAGGUGGCUUGAAUGAGUUUUAUAAAUUUAAAUGUAAUAUUAAGCUUGGUGUGAAUAAAAAUGUGCCCAUUAAUUGUUUAUUAGACAAAAACGUGUAAUCAGCUGAGUUUGAGGGGAAUUUACCAAGAUAUGAAACUGAAGCCUGCCAGCACCACUGCAGUCAAACUAGCCUUUUUACAAAACACAUCUUUGGCUUUUUUAAAAACAAAUAAAAACUACCUUGAGUUUUUCUAAGCCAAUUAAUCCUAUGUUAACCCCUAACAAAACAAAACAAAACAAAACCCAAAAACAUUUUCUAAAAAUUGUUCAACUUCUUUUCUUCAUCAUGCAAAAAUAAAUAAAAAUAAGAGCCGACCUGCUUCCCUCACACACCGAAUUUAUUACCAACACAAACAUGACUCUAACAAGUCAAGAACAAGCAUUUUUUUUUUUUUUUAAAUGUGAAACAAAGAUUACAAGGAUUUCACAAAAGUGGGGAAGGUGUUCCCAACCAGCAUAUCGACAAAAACAGUAUGCUUCUACAUUUGAUUAAAAAAGGCUAAGACAAAUACCAUACCUUCGUUUCAACUUAUAAAACUGACAUUGCACCCUGUUGUUAUUUUUACAAACACCUCUAAUGAAAACGUAUGUUGGUAAAGGGCAAAUGAAAUGGAGUAGCAUGUGCAUAAGAGACAUCGAGCAUGAGCGCCUGGUAUUCUACAGCUACUUAUCAAAAAACAGGAGGUGAGGAUAGUGUUGUCGGGUACGGGGAAUGUAAAUAGAGGGCAGGAGGGAGACACUGGGAGGAGGGCUUGUGACAAACAGUCCAAAAUCUGAACUAGGAGCGAGAACGGGAACGAGAACGAGACUGGGAGCGGGAUUUAGAGCGGGACUCCGAUCGGGAGGCGGAGCGGGAACGGGAGCGGGCUUUGGCAGGUGAGGGGGAACGGGAUUUGGACUUUGAUUUAGACCUGGCUCUGGAUUUGGACUCCUCAGGAGACUGAGAACGGGAACGAGAACGAGAGCGUGAGCCUCUCUCAGGCUCGCCGCCCUCGUCAUCGCUCUUGGGCUCCUCGCGGCCCUUUGAGACAGAUUUCCUUGACUGAUCCUUAGCUCCAGAUGCAGAACGAGAUCUAGAACGAGACCUGGAGCGAGACCGAGAGCGAGACCUGGACCUGGACUCCCCCUUCUUGCCCUUUUUCCCCUCUUUCUUGCUCUUUUUACUCUUGGGGCUGCGGCUCCGGCUCCGGCUGCGAUCCUUGUUCUUCUGAGCGCCGUUGCUGCGCUCCUCCUCCUCCUUCUUGCCCUUUCCCUUAUUCUUCUUGCUACGAGAUCGACUGCGGGAGCGAGAAGCAGCCC